AGAGACUCCACUCCCCAGCCACGGUCAUGCCCAGACUUCUCGACAGCCGUUUCCCUUUGCGUACACUCCCACCCAAGUGCCGUCGGCCUCACCUCUUCUUGACUGGCUUAAGGAUAUGUUGCUAUGACAGCCAGGAAUUUGCGAACCAAACCAGACCUGGAGAAGAAGUCUCUCCUUGGCCCAAAGAGUUUGCAGUUCCAAGUGGUUCUGCUCAUGGUUCCUGUUGUCUUCUUUGACACCUGCCAGAUGGAAGAACCUCUAAACCUGGGAUUUGGAAAUGUCCCAACAGAAAGGCUAUUUCCAAGCUGGCUGAAGCUUGGAAAUAAAUUCGACGGAAUUUAGGUGUGAUAGAAGGAACUUCUUGGCAAGAAAAGCUGGAAAAUAUUACAAUAGGUCCCAGAGAGAACCUCAUUAUCUUCUCGAAAAAAUUUCUAUAUUUGUUUAGUGUUCUGUGGUUUGCUAAGCACAUUCACAUAAAUUAUCUAAUUGGAUCUUCACAUCCGCCUGGUGAAGGAGUAAAAAUAGGUUUCAUAAUAUUUGACCAAAGACAAGGAAAAUGAAGUUCAAUAAGAACAAGAUCAAACAGCCAACAGGCAACAGAACUGAGAUUUGAAACUGGGUUUUCUGACUGUAAAUCUAGCUCUUUUAAUUCUAUUAUGAUAAUCCCCCAAAAUAUAAAAGAGAUCACAUCUGAG
rnacentral:lncRNA from 10 species